rnacentral:rRNA from 1 species
AACGUAGGAGACAAACGUUAUCCGGAGUUACUGGGCGUAAAGGGCGUGUAGGUGGUUUCGUAAGUCUGGCGUGAAAUUUUUCGGCUUAACCGGGAAAGGUCGUCGGAUACUGCGGAACUAGAAGGACGGUAGAGGCGUGUGGAAUUCCGGGUGGAGUGGUGAAAUGCGUAGAGAUCCGGAGGAACACCAAAGGCGAAGGCAGUGUCCUGGGGAGUACCUGACGCUCAGGUGCGAAAGCCAGGGGAGCGAACGGG